UUGACCUCGGAUCAGGUAGGAUGCCC
rnacentral:rRNA from 1 species